rnacentral:rRNA from 1 species
ACAGAGGUCCCGAGCGUUGUUCGGAUUCACUGGGCGUAAAGGGUGCGUAGGUGGUGAGGUAAGUCGGAUGUGAAAUCUCCGAGCUCAACUCGGAAAUGGCAUUGGAAACUACCUUGCUCGAGGGUUGGAGGGGGGACUGGAAUGCUUGGUGUAGCAGUGAAAUGCGUAGAUAUCAAGCGGAACACCAGUGGCGAAGGCGGCUUUCUGGGCCUACCCUGACGCUGAGGAGCGAAAGCGUGGGGAGCAAACCGGA